AGGAAUGGCUGUGCCAAUGGGUGACUAAAGAUGAGAAAGCUAAGGAGAGACAUGUUACGAGUUAACCCAACAUGACACAGAUGGUUCAUUCUGAUAUAGAAAUGGUGAAGAAUAUUUUAGCUGGAACCAAAAUUGCCAAGGUUCUUUGGACUUCACAAAAGUAAAGGCUAAACGGUGAUGAGGGUAUCAGUGUCAUCAUGGAACAAAAAAGAAAAACAACUUUUAUUUGUGCAGUAUGUGAGGAAUCGUCAUCAGGAUCUCAU